rnacentral:rRNA from 1 species
UGGGCAACCUGCCCCUCUCUCUGGGAUAACCCCGGGAAACCGGAGCUAAUACCGGAUACUCCGGCUGGAUCGCAUGGUCCGGCCGGGAAAGGUCCGCCGGAGAGGGAUGGGCCCGCGGCCUAUCAGCUUGUUGGUGAGGUAACGGCCCACCAAGGCGACGACGGGUAGCUGGUCUGAGAGGACGACCAGCCACACUGGAACUGAGAUACGGUCCAGACUCCUACGGGAGGCA